rnacentral:pre_miRNA from 1 species
UGGUGGUCAUAAUGAUGAUGAUGAUGAUGACGAUGACGAUGAUGACGAUUAUCAUCAUCAUCAUCAUCAUCAUCAUCACCACAACAA